rnacentral:SRP_RNA from 1 species
UCUGGGCACAGUGGCACCUGCCUGUGGUCCCAGCUACUCAGGAGGCUGAGGCUGGAGGAGCGCUAUGCCAAUCGGGUGUCCACACUAAGUUCAGCAUCAAUAUGGUGACCUCCCGGGAGCGGGGGACCACCAGGUUGGCUAAAGAGGAGUGAAAAUCGGCCCAGGUCGGAAACAGAGCAGGUCGAAACUCCCGUGCUGAUCAAUAGUGGGCUUGCACCUGUGAAUAGCCACUGUACUCCAGCCUG